rnacentral:rRNA from 1 species
GUGAUACGUAUCGGAUUUACUGGGCGUAAGCGCGCGUAGGUGGUUAAUUAAGUCAAAUGUGAAAUCCCCGAGCUUAACUUGGGAAUUGCAUUCGAUACUGGUUAGCUAGAGUAUGGGAGAGGAUGGUAGAAUUCCAGGUGUAGCGGUGAAAUGCGUAGAGAUCUGGAGGAAUACCGAUGGCGAAGGCAGCCAUCUGGCCUAAUACUGACACUGAGGUGCGAAAGCAUGGGGAGCAAACAGGAUUAGAUACCCUGGUAGUCCAUGCCGUAAACGAUGUCUACUAGCCGUUGGGGGAUUUGAUCCUUUAGUGGCGCAGCUAACGCGAUAAGUAGACCGCCUGGGGAGUACGGUCGCAAGACUAAAACUCAAAUGAAUUGACGGGGGCCCGCACAAGCGGUGGAGCAUGUGGUUUAAUUCGAUGCAACGCGAAGAACCUUACCUGGCCUUGACAUAGUAGAGACUUUCCAGAGAUGGAUUGGUGCCUUCGGGAAUCUACAUACAGGUGCUGCAUGGCUGUCGUCAGCUCGUGUCGUGAGAUGUUGGGUUAAGUCCCGCAACGAGCGCAACCCUUUUCCUUACUUGCCAGCAUUUCGGAUGGGAACUUUAAGGAUACUGCCAGUGACAAACUGGAGGAAGGCGGGGACGACGUCAAGUCAUCAUGGCCCUUACGGCCAGGGCUACACACGUGCUACAAUGGUCGGUACAAAGGGUUGCUACACAGCGAUGUGAUGCUAAUCUCAAAAAGCCGAUCGUAGUCCGGAUCGCAGUCUGCAACUCGACUGCGUGAAGUCGGAAUCGCUAGUAAUCGCGGAUCAGAAUGCCGCGGUGAAUACGUUCCCGGGCCUUGUACACACCGCCCGUCACACCAUGGGAGUUUGUUGCACCAGAAGUAGGUAGUCUAACCGCAAGGAGGACGCUUACCACGGUGUGACCGAUGACUGGGGUGAAGUCGUACAGAGGGAACGCAAACAAAAUAGGGAAAGCC